UCGUACGUGAAAGGGUCUUCGGACCUGAGUAAAGUGGCGCACGGGUGAGUAACGCGUGGAUAAUCUGCCCCUCAGUUGGGAAUAACUCAUCGAAAGGUGGGCUAACACCGAAUAAUGCUGCAUGACCGCGGUUGUGCAGCCAAAGAUGGCCUCUGCUUGCAUGCUGUCGCUGAAGGAUGAGUCCGCGUACCAUUAGCUAGUUGGUAGGGUAAUGGCCUACCAAGGCUACGAUGGUUAGCUGGUCUGAGAGGAUGAUCAGCCACACUGGAACUGAGAUACGGUCCAGACUCCUACGGGAGGCAGCAGUGAGGAAUCUUGCGCAAUGGGGGCAACCCUGACGCAGCAACGCCGCGUGAGUGAAGAAGGCCUUCGGGUCGUAAAGCUCUGUCGGGUGGGAAGAAACGUAUGAGGGUAAAUAGUCUUCAUACUUGACGGUACCGCCAAAGGAAGCACCGGCUAACUCCGUGCCAGCAGCCGCGGUAAUACGGGGGGUGCAAGCGUUGUUCGGAAUUAUUGGGCGUAAAGAGCGUGUAGGCGGCGUGAUAAGUCAGAUGUGAAAGCCCUGGGCUUAACCCAGGAAGUGCAUUUGAAACUGCCAUGCUUGAGUACGGGAGAGGGAAGAGGAAUUCCUGGUGUAGAGGUGAAAUUCGUAGAUAUCAGGAGGAACACCGGUGGCGAAGGCGACUUCCUGGCCCGAUACUGACGCUGAGACGCGAGAGCGUGGGGAGCAAACAGGA
rnacentral:rRNA from 1 species